ACGGGAGAGUAACACGUGGGAACGUACCCUUUGGUUCGGAACAACCCAGGGAAACUUGGGCUAAUACCGGAUAAGCCCUUACGGGGAAAGAUUUAUCGCCGAAGGAUCGGCCCGCGUCUGAUUAGCUAGUUGGUGGGGUAACGGCCCACCAAGGCUACGAUCAGUAGCUGGUCUGAGAGGAUGAUCAGCCUCACUGGGACUGAGACACGGCCCAG
rnacentral:rRNA from 1 species